rnacentral:rRNA from 1 species
UACAUAGGGUGCAAGCGUUGUCCGGAAUUAUUGGGCGUAAAGAGCUCGUAGGUGGUUUGAUACGUCGGGUGUGAAAUUCAGGGGCUCAACCCCUGACCUGCAUUCGAUACGGUCAAGCUAGAGUUUGGUAGGGGAGACUGGAAUUCCUGGUGUAGCGGUGGAAUGCGCAGAUAUCAGGAGGAACACCAAUGGCGAAGGCAGGACUCUGGGCCAUUACUGACACUGAGGAGCGAAAGCGUGGGGAGCGAACAGG